CGUUGCCUGAUAAGAACCAAGACAGAGGAAAGGGUGGAAAAGAGCACACCACAAGGAUCGACUUUUAAACCAAUGCAGUUUGCCAUCAGAGUACCAGGACUUUUAACAACAUUAAUUAAAAAUGAGCUAUGAGGAAGUGUUGUGCUAUGAAAGAGCAUCUGAUCACAGCUGAAUGAUUUUUCACUUCAUUUCACUGGCCUUCGCUUACACUGAGUGUGCCCACUGUCCUCGGACCUUCUCUGCCUGCCCAGACAUCCUGAGUGGUGAGUGGUAAUGCUGUGAGUACUUGGUCAUCUGUGACAAAUCUGGCAAGUGGAUGGAGGAUGAGAGGUGUGGGGUAAAGUUGUAGGUCAAUAGCCCUUAUUGACCAACUACCAGUAAUAAGAGGGUGCUGGUGUGAUAGAGGGCGCAUCAAUAAAAUCAAGUAAUAGUGUAGAAAUUAGUGGCUUGAAGGAACAUUUGUCAUUAUGAAUGUAUCCUGCAAGUGCAUCAGGGUCCAUGAUGUUAAAUCUAUGAAUGCACAGUAGAGGUCUUCACAGGUCCACUUGGUUAGUAAUCCUAAAGACGAACCAGACCCCGACCCAAAUUGGAACUAUUGGAACCGAUUCUGUUGCUGUGUGUCUCAGCUCCAUGUGUCAAUAUGUUUAAACACUGAGCGGAUUCAAACAGACUCACUCACUCUGAUCACUUCAUUGCAAGGGGAAAAAUUUAUUUUUUGAGGUGAUUCUUAAAUCCUGUGUCACCAAAGAAGAAGAAAGAAGAAGAACGAUCAACAAACAAGCAUAUAGGGAAUUAACCCUCGUUUACAUGUUUAUACAAGUAUAAAUACAAAUCUCACUGGUUUCACAUAGCCAGAGCUCUGUGUAGUUGUUUGUCCUAUGAUGACAUGAUGAACUCCAAACAUUCUUUCAGCAGAUCUGAUCUAACACCCUUACUGUUGUGUUUGCAAACAGGGAGCGAACAUUGUGGGGUGUGAAUCUCAUUUUACUGGUGACAGAAAUGCUUGUGCUCAAGGGUUGAGAUUUGAUAUUACCACAGACCAGAUCAGGGAAGGGGGGUGGAGAGGUGACAGCCACGAACUGGCCUAUCUAGCAAUGCACAAGGCUAUGGAGCAGAGUGACUCCCUUCAGCCGUCGGAACAUCAUCGCCACAGCUGUUCCUCAUCCUCCGUCCUCAUCAGAUGUUGCAGAGGAGUCUGACGAGGGGCACAGUACCUCUGCUCCAGGGCCAUCUACUACCCCACACCACCUGUCCAGCUGUUCCAAAGGGCCCAAACAACUUGCCUUUCAGGGCAAGCAAAAAAAAAAAAAAAGAGAAAACUUCACUCGUCUCUCUGGAGUUGUCUUCACAGAUGGAAAAAAAAAAACUUCGAAAAAUGAUCCUGUCACAAAAAAAAGCUUUUUUAAGGCUUCUUAUUUGUUUUUUGGCUCUUAAUGACAGAUUUAUGUUUCCUUAAAUGAAAUGAUUCCUCACUUAAAAGAGGUACAGCAUUAAACAUGAGUUGCUUUUCAUCUGUCUCUGUUCUUCAAAUUGAGAUUUCCAGCUAAAAAUUAAUUGCUUACCAAGAAGCCACCCAUUGAGCACCCUGCCAGCUUGUAGCCUGUUCCCAACCACGGUGUUUGUUAGGAAAGAUGAAUCGUGGACCUCUUUGCCACAAUAUCAGUCAGUUGCAUUUGUGCAUCACAUAUUAUUUGCACGUUGAUAGAAUGAAAAUGGUUUCUAUUAACAUAGGCAAAUUCAUCCUCUGAUGGUGCUUUCACAGGAACGUGUGUGCAGUCAAUCGCUUCGAUUACAUUAGAGAAACUGGCUCUGGCUUCAAAUUGCGCUUUAAUGUUAACCUGGUCAACCACAUCAUAUGGGAACGUUAUGUACCUGGCUGACAUACAGAUGAUCCCUUCCCAUACAACUUGAAUGGCAUGGCUGAAGGAUGACUGGCAGUCUGAAAUGUCCCCGUUGCCAAGAAACCCAGAGUGGUAAGCACUUGUAUGGGAACAGUUAGGCUAAUGCGUGUCUCCUCGCUGUGUCCCUCUCUAAGACUGGACCCAGCAGCACACAGUUCCAAGAGGAUAGCCAGUUAUCAUCAUUUGCCAAAUUUUUUUGCCACAUUUUAAAUUUUUUAAAUCAGCGUGCUCUCUAAAUACCUGUUCCCUUCUAAUUCUGCCAUUCUCUAUGUCCUCUAAUAAGGUCAAA